UUUUUUACUUGUUUUAUGACUCAGUUAAAAACAGCUAAACAAAUUUUUUACUUCAGGUGGAGAAACUGUCCCUUUGUUUGAACAGAAAGCAUACUUGGCUGCUGUGCAGCUUUGAUUAUGCCAUCCAAUUGUGUAAUGUUGAUUCUCUCACCCUUAAAUGUUGCUUCAAUCAAAUGUUUUUGGCUGAGAUUUUCAAGAUGCUGUGUCACUGAAUAUCUAAUCCCUUUAAGAAGAAGAGCAUUCCAUGUGGUGGAUAUAUGAUAUUUGGAAAAUACUUCAGCCUUGUGAGGAUGGCUUUGCCUGAUGCUGAAGAGCAACUUGCUCUCUGACCCCCACCAGAAGUGUUACUUAAAGAUGUGUAUCCUACUAAUUGUAUCCAAACUCCACUGUCUUCUUUGAACUGCCCAGAGGAUUUUCUCUGCUCAGCAGUGGAAGUAAUAAAGAGGUGACAAGUCUUACUUUAGAUCUUCCUCAUCUACAUUAUCUGAGAUCUGUUCAAAUGAAGCCAUAGAGUGACUUGUAGAAUUAUAGGACUCAGAAGAAGGUGUUGCUCCAGGGCAACACCCUUGGUGAGAUCUGGUCAUGUGGUCUCUUCUCCAGAGCUUUGUUCUUGUCUAGGCAGCAGCCAGCUGGCCUCUUUUUGAUGUGUGUGCCAUCAUUUAACUCCUAGGUGUGCCUUCCUCUGUGGAGGUACAGGCCAAAAUUUGUCUUACAUGACCAAGGCAUGAUACUGUGUUUUAUUGUGAUACUGCAGGAACUCUAAAAGCACUUAGUUUUUUUAAUCUGGAAGUUUUAUGGAAUGAUACUAUCUAAACAUCACUGUGUGUAGCUAUGUGACUUUGGAGCCAGCAUGCAACUAAUUGUCUGUUUGCUUGUUUUCAGGUUCUCCUCUUGGUUGUGAAGCAGAUUUUUCCAGAUUUUGAGUUCAUGUGGCUGGUGGAAGAAGCUAAGAAGAAUCUGCCCUUAGAGCUGGAUUUCCUCAAUGAAGGCAGAAAUGCUGAGAAGGUUGCUCAUAUGCUCAAAAACUUUGACUUCCUGAAGAGACUAUGGAUUUGCCAUCCUUUACUGAACCUGAAUUUGAUGGUACCUUUCCUUGGGCUCUGUCUCAGCUGAGGGUAAGAAAUGGACGCAGAACAGAAAAGCUAGACUGAAACUGGUGAUGUCAACUAGUAUUGUGGACACCUUGUAUCUCAGGAAGAAGCAUAUUCACAUGAGUCCUUCCUACUGCAAAAAAGCACAUUCUCACUCCAGAACUGGACAUUUACCCUUCGUACACAUCUGUGGCUAAUUCAUGUUACCUUCAUACAGAAAUCAAAUUGCACCCAUGUUUGGUCUUCCCCUCUGAUACUUUUAUCCCACCUCCCCUGCCACACACUUAUGUCACUGAUAAAUGUCUGAAAUACAACCAGACACGUACACAUCUCGUUCUUGGAAAGACAUAUGCUCACAUCUUCAAAGUCACACGUUCAGAAAUCUUUUGCUGAGGUACAAGAGACACAAGCCUCCAGUGUGUGCUUUCUGGAAACACACAUAGUGCCAUGUUACUGUGCCCAUGGCACAUACAGAAAGGCAGCAAAAAUCACACCCUGCUGUGGAUCUUCUUGUAUACAUACUUCUAAAUGAGCUUGCCACCUCCUAUUUAUGCAGAAGUCCCAAGAUAGGAGUGACA
ensembl:lncRNA